rnacentral:rRNA from 1 species
UACGUAGGUGGCAAGCGUUGUCCGGAUUUAUUGGGUUUAAAGGGUGCGUAGGCGUUCCCAUAAGUCAGUGGUGAAAUACUCUAGCUUAACUAGAGGGGUGCCAUUGAUACUGCGGGACUUGAGUGGAGUUGAAGUGGGCGGAGUUGACGGUGUAGCGGUGAAAUGCUUAGAUAUCGUCAAGAACACCGAUAGUGAAGACAGCUCACUAAGCUCAAACUGACGCUGAGGCACGAAAGUGUGGGGAUCAAACAGG